rnacentral:rRNA from 1 species
AACACAUGCAAGUCGAACGGCAGCACAGAGGAGCUUGCUCCUUGGGUGGCGAGUGGCGCACGGGUGAGGAAUACAUGGGUAAUCUGCCUUCAAGUUUGGGAUAACCAGUCGAAAGAUUGGCUAAUACCGGAUAAGACCACAUGAACUGCGGUUCAAGAGGUCAAAGGUUUUUCGCUUGAAGAUGAGCCCAUGUGGGAUUAGCUAGUUGGUGAGGUAAUGGCUCACCAAGGCGACGAUCCCUAACUGGUCUUAGAGGAUGAUCAGUCACACUGGAACUGAGACACGGUCCAGACUCCUACGGGAGGCAGCAGUAGGGAAUAUUGCGCAAUGGGGGAAACCCUGACGCAGCGACGCCGCGUGAGUGAUGAAGGCCUUCGGGUCGUAAAGCUCUGUCGUAUGGGACUAACAAAAUGAAGGUACCAUGCAAGAAAGGAUCGGCUAACUUCGUGCCAGCAGCCGCCGUAA